CAGACCUACAAACUUACUCUGAGUAAAUUCUGCACGAAGGCUUGGCAGCUCCAGCUCUAUAGCCUUUUUUAAAUGGAAGGCUCUUCCAAGCCAAAUUCUGUCUGCGGGAGCAACCCGUGAUAGCCUUGAUAGAAGGUUAUUUUGUCUCUGGUCUAAAUGCUACCUAUAUUAGUAGUAUGACUAUGGGAAAACAGCCCCUGCUUCUGGGGCCAUUGCUCUUGCUGUGCAAAGAUCGUCUUUCUCUGCUGUUAUUUUACUGGGAUCACUGACCAAGGCAAGAUGUUGUGCUUUCAGGGACUCGAGGGACUGCAAGGUGACAAAGGAGGAAAAUAUGUUCAUGGGACACGGAAGAGGCAGCUUUCAGGAAACAGAGCCUCCAGCAGAACUCGUAUCACAUACACAAACCGACCAGAGCUGGCAUCUCCCCCAGGGAGAAGAAGAGCAAGCAAGGAUCAUAUGCAAGAGUGCAAUAGAUACAGUGCUGGGAUGGCAUGAAGAGCAGAGUUGGAUGCCAGCCUCGUGUUAUUAACAGAUGACUACAUGAAGAACAAGGCUGAUACAAGCACAACGACAGCUACUUGCCAUGAUGUGAACCUCACCGAAAGGCUUUCUAACACCAGUGACCAACCCCCUGCUUUCCCACCAUGGCACUGACCCUAACAGACUGAGGGCCCUCGGUGCUCCUCGCUCUCCAUGCUCUCCAGACCUUUCUCCAUCUCACAGCCCUCCUUGGACGCUCUCUAAUAGCUUCUGGGAAUGUCUGCUUUGCCAAAAGUUGCAGUCAAGCCUGAGGAGUUAUGACUGGCACAAAGCACAGGGUCUGCACCAGCCCCUCAGGAGUUCAGUAGAGCCCCUGCUCCUCUGUGAGCUCUGCAUAGGAGGGACCCUGUGGGUAUUCAGAAAAAACACCACCAGAGAUAAUUCACUCCUUGUGUUUGGCUGUUUUGGGGUGGGAUUCUGGGGUACGGAGGGCGGAAUGUUGGCUCUGGGCAACUCAGAGAAGGCCUCGUGCCGUGAAAUUGCUGCCCAACGCUUCCACAUCUAAACACCCUGUGUUUCUAAGUGCUCCAUGUUUCCCAAUUCCCUGCCACAUCACAGGGUUCCCUGCUCUCAGGAGGCAGAACCAAGCAGUGCAGAGCGGCUCUGGUAUCCCUCAGUGAACAUCCUGCUGACGGGGCAACGCGUUCAAAGCGCGGGCAUAAAAGCAUUGCUUUGAAACGGGGCAUAAAAGAACACGGAGGAAAAAAACUCGAUUGUUCCUCUGUGAAAUUUCUCUGGGAAGGCAGCCACGACGACUAAAAGCAGCGCAGCUGAUGCCAGUAUUGAAGUUCUGCCGUAGGAAGUACCUACGGAUUAAUCAAUCAUGCAGUGAGCACAUUACCUAAGAUUGGAGCGAGCGAAUCCCCACUGACUAGUGCUGUUCCAAAGACUACUAGGACACUGUGAACUGGUUUAUUUUCCUAUAUGCUCUUAGCAAAUGUUUUUCUUCUUGCUUGCCUCGGUGCUUACAAACUGAUUGCAGCUCAAUUCCCUUGGAAGCUUCUAGAAGUUGACCAAACUUUAACCUCUUUUACUCCUCUUUUCUUCCUCUGUAUUUAAGGAAGACAGACACCAUGUCUACACCUUUUUCCCAUCUCACAGUACCUGUCCUCCACGGGCUCUCAAGGAGAAGUGGAUAUGUACCAGGUAUGGAGCACGGAGCUCCUGAAAGCUAGUUUGUGUGCAGGCUGUUCCUGCUGUCACAGCCCUGCCGCAUCUCCUGGACUUUGUAACUGCUCCAAAACCUCAAGCAAAAACUGCUGAAAUGCUUCCUGCUGACUUCCUGCUUGUGUGGCUUCAAACUGCCUGCAUCACUGCAAAAGACAUACGUGGAGCCUUCCAAUGACCUAGCAAAGAAAAUAAAUCCCAUACUGUUUCUGUUCUGCCUAUGACGAUUUACUUUCCAUCAGCAGGAUGUUCCCAGCUGAAUGAAGUUUCCCCGUAUCAGGGCACAUCCCUAAAAUGACAGUGAUUUACUUGAAUAAAACUGGGCAAGAAAUCGCCAGGAGAUUAUUACAGUAGAAGUCUACGGUGAGCAAACACCUUGCAAAUGAACGGUCCAGUUCCUAUCAAUUCAGUUCUUGCUCUUCAUCUUCAUCUGAACAAAUUAAGGCAGUUAAAGGUCACUGCAUAGCUUUCAGACAGCAAUGAGCUUCACCUGCAAGGCUGCAGUUAUCUGUAAGGAGGCUGCAGGGCUUCAGCUGGCAGUGCCCUGCCUUUGUGUUUCAUAUCAGGUUCUGGUGAGGGUGGGCAGAGGUUGAACGAAAGGAAAAAAGAAGCAAACUGCAAGCCUUGUUUGCAAAUGGGGAAAAAUAAGAAUGCAAACAUCUUACUUUAAUAUACAGGGAAGGGAAAGGGUUGAUCAAACUCUGAUGGAAAUUUUUCUGCUGGACAUAAUCAGCUAUUUCUUAAAUUGAUUUUUAUCUUAACAUGAGGUUAAAAAAGUUUGUUUACAGGAGAGUUAUGAAGCUAAAUUCCAGUGAUUUUGUUCUCACUCAUUUAAUAGCCUGAAAUGCGAUUAAAAACUCCUGGAUUAUGUUAAAAUAAAUGAACGCAGAUG